ACUCUCCCACCACGCACUUUUCGUAUCAUCCUAGAUCUGGAUGCCCUUCAUGGAACCUAAAAACCAGCGAGUCCCGGAAAGGCCUCAGGCAAUUGCCAAGCCGAUGGCCUUCUGCCACUUAGUUAAUGUGCACCUGGCAGCUUAGGUGGCCGCGGAGAAAGCAACUUUGGCUGCACCAAGGUCCGGCACAAGUCUGGAGAAGCUUCAGCCAGUUCCAGCUUUGGUAUCAGGAUGACGCUGGCCUCAUAAAAUGAGUUAGGGAGGAUUCCCUCUCUUUCUAUUGAUUGGAAUAGUUUCAGAAGGAAUGGUACCAGCUACUCCUUGUACCUCUGGUAGAAUUCGGCUGUCAGUCUGUCUGGUCCUGGACUUUUUUUGGUUGAUGGCUGGAGUCAGCUGGCAAAUACAGAAGCAGGAAACAUUACACUGAAGCUCAGAAAAUAAUAUCCCCAAAUGAAGGCAUCAGAAAUAAAA
rnacentral:lncRNA from 10 species